rnacentral:lncRNA from 1 species
CCCUGCCAACUGUUUAAUCCGCCGGAAGGAGGGCGCAGCAUUGCCGGUCUUCUCAUUGCCUGGCUGCUAGAGGAAACCCGAAGUCGGGAUUCUUUCUUUCCUGCUCUGAGAGGGACCAGGUCCCUCCUCCGUAGCUUUUGUCUCUCUAUUGCCUGCGCCGUGUCCUGGACUGCUCACGGGAGUUCUGCAGGAGACGCCGGAAUAUCUGGAAGCUGAAAAAUGGAAAUAAAUGGAAAGACCAGAAUAUUGAAGAUCACUACAGAAAUCUAAGGUAAUUUACACUUACAAAAUGAAGCAAUGUCUUUCUAGAAAAUCUUAGAAUGUGAGACUAUGUUUAAAAAAAAAAAAAAAGGCUGGGCGCGGUGGCUCACAGCGCAUUUUGGGAGGCUGAGGCAGGCGGAUCACAAGGUCAGGAGAUCGAGACCAUCCUAACACGGUGAAACCCCGUCUCUACUAAAAAUUAGCAGGGCAUGGUGGCACGUGCCUGUAGUCUCAGCUACUCGGGAGGCUGAGGCAGGAGAAUUGCCUGAACCUGGGAGCAGAGGUUGCAGUGAGCCGAGAUCUCGCCAUCGCACUCCAGCCCGGGCGACAGAGUGAGACUCUGUCUCACAAAAAAAAUAAGAAAAGCAAAUGAAGGAAAUAAGCCCAGCAUCAAAUUUGUUUAUUUAUUAGAAUAAUAAUUAUUUUUUCUUUCUGAGACAGAGUUUCACUGUUGCCCAGGCUGGAGUGCAG